ensembl:misc_RNA Y_RNA Y RNA
AGUUUGUCUGAGAGUUGUGGUUUAUUGUUAAGGUGUUUAACAUUGUCUCACAUCCAAAACUGCAUUUGACUGACUUGUG